rfam:Plasmodium malariae genome assembly, contig: contig1524
UUUACAAGUGAUGAUUAUAUAAAAAUACGAUGUGCUCUCGAGUCCUGAGUGAAAAUACUGAACUCAAACAUACUCAGUUGAGCGGAAGUUUCAGAUGAAAUUAAAACAAGUAUCUGAUGAAAAAAUUCGU